AGAAAUUUAGGAUAUAACAGUCCAAGAGCCUUCAAAGCUCUAAGAAAACAAUUAAGUUUAAUUUCUGA
rnacentral:tRNA from 1 species